UGGGACCUGUGGGUUAUGACAUGAUAUUAUAUGUAUAUAGAUCUAUAAUUUAAUUUAGAUUAGAUCUGAUAUAUGAUAUUUAUAUCUAAAAUUAGCUAUAGAUCUGAUCGCACAAACUGACAUAAGAUUGUCCUGCUAUAAGGUUUACCCCUUACAGUGCAAAGAUUGUCCUAGUUUGUACUGAUUUUUAUAAAAUCUGAUUUUAAUUUAAAAUAUAUAAAAUUUAUUUAUAAUAAUUAUUAUCUAAUUUUAAUAUGAUCAAAAUAUAAUAAUCAGAUCUGAAAUAAUUUAGAUUAGAUCUAAAUUAUAUAGAUUA
rnacentral:lncRNA from 1 species